GGAAUAGCAUCUUCAAUAUACACUAUUAUUAAUGAAAAAUUACCUGACUGCAACAAAACGUCUCUGAAAAGAAAAUGGGAGGCAGAUCUGGGCUAUGUUUAUGAAGAGGUAGAAUGGUACCAUCUAAUGGAGCAGGCACAGACCAUGUUAAUUUCUACAAAUCAUAGACAAAUGCAAUUUAAUAUAUUCCACAGGACAUAUUAUACACCUUACAGAUUACAUAAAAUUGAUAUUAAUUACUCUCCCAAAUGUUUGAGAUGUAAGGUGAUAGAUGGUGAUCUCCUUCAUAUGCUGUGGAAUUGCCCAGUAAUAGAGGAGUUCUGGAGACGGAUCACUGAAAUAAUUUCAAGGGUAAUUGGGAUCCAAGUCGAAAUGGACCCAAAACUAUGGAUUUUAGGUGACAUAGAUUCUAUAAAUGUGGAUUACCACAAGAAAUAUUUCAUUUUACUUGCGAGUACUGCAGUUAAAAAAUGUAUUCUGACACAUUGGAAAUCUGAAAAUUCUCCAACACUGAGAUAUUGGAUUAAUGAGUUAGCAUCCUACUGUACACCUGAGAAGAUUUCGCAUAGUGUAAAAGGGAAAUACGGAACCUUUAAAAAAAUUUGGGGACCAUUUCUUUCAGUAUUACCGUCUUUGGACUUGACAGAAUAUAGAGAUGACGUAAAUUCCUCUGGGUUUACCCUGAAUUGAUCCUUGGUUAGGCCCUUCUGAUCAGAAUUCUUGAAUGUUGUGCUGAUUCUUGUGUAUAGAUGGGUGUAAAUAUGGGCUGUUUAGAUACAUGAAUGUGAUGAAGUUGAGAGCCAUACAGGGGUAAAGGGGUGGGGGGAUGGUGGAAGGGGUUCACACGAUAUGUUUUUCUUUUUUUCUCUUUUUUCCUCCUUUUUUUUUCUUUUUUUCUUUUUUUUGUUUUUUUGUUUUUGUUUUUUGUUUUAAAUUUCUGUAAUUACCAAUACUGUUACUAUUAUAAUUAUUAUUUUUAUUAUUAUUAUUAAUACGCCCGUAUUUUCUGUGCUCGGUCCUCAGAUGGUUGAGGCUAUGUUUGAAAGAUAAAGAUACUAGAGUGUGUUCCUGAGAUUUUUUAUUUAUUUAUUUAUUUUUUUGGUCAUAAUGGCCAGUCAUAUACCUACUCUGUCCCAUAACUGUGAAUGUCUUUUAUUGUUUGUUUCUGUUUGUUUGUUGUUUGUUUUCAAUUUAAAAAAUGAAAAUAAAAACUUAAAAAAAAGAUUUAGAAAACAAGAGAAAAAGAAAAAAAAAUGAGGGAAACUGAUCAAAUCACAGAACCAUUAUAGUGACUUAACACUACACGUGAAAGUAAACAAGUUUGGUAUGAAUUUAUAAACACAGGCACAUUAGUGAGGCAAAAAUGAAUCGAAAUGACGCAGACCACAAGAUAGUCUGAGCUGUACAAAUGAAAGAUGAUUUGUCACAGAGUGAGUAACAUGAGAGAGAGGUUAACAUUUACACAAGCAGAAGGCCAGAUGGAUCAGUCAGCAGCAAUCAGCAGUAAGUGAUGAUGCCAAGUCAUCUCAUGCACAUACAUACACACCUACUCAUUCACACUCAUUCCAUCAAAGCAUACAGCAGUUACACAAAUCACACAAUCACUCAGACACACAAACAUGCACAUAGCUUGUUACCACGCAAUCAUUCACAUCUGUUAGCUGACCUGCA
ensembl:lncRNA